GAUGAACGCUGGCGGCUUGCCUAAUACAUGCAAGUCGAGCGGACAGACGAGGAGCUUGCUCCUCUGACGUUAGCGGCGGACGGGUGAGUAACACGUGGAUAACCUACCUAUAAGACUGGGAUAACUUCGGGAAACCGGAGCUAAUACCGGAUAAUAUAUUGAACCGCAUGGUUCAAUAGUGAAAGACGGUUUUGCUGUCACUUAUAGAUGGAUCCGCGCCGCAUUAGCUAGUUGGUAAGGUAACGGCUUACCAAGGCAACGAUGCGUAGCCGACCUGAGAGGGUGAUCGGCCACACUGGAACUGAGACACGGUCCAGACUCCUACGGGAGGCAGCAGUAGGGAAUCUUCCGCAAUGGGCGAAAGCUUGACGGAGCAACGCCGCGUGAGUGAUGAAGGUCUUCGGAUCGUAAAACUCUGUUAUUAGGGAAGAACAAAUGUGUAAGUAACUAUGCACGUCUUGACGGUACCUAAUCAGAAAGCCACGGCUAACUACGUG
rnacentral:rRNA from 1 species